rnacentral:pre_miRNA from 1 species
ACCCUGUAGAAUCGAAUUUGUGUGAAUAUUUGAGAGUCACAAAUUCGUCUCUAGGGGAGU